ACGCUCGACACCUACGGGGCAGCAGUAGGGAAUCUUCCACAAUGGGCGCAAGCCUGAUGGAGCAACACCGCGUGAGUGAAGAAGGGUUUCGGCUCGUAAAGCUCUGUUGUUGGAGAAGAACGUGCGUGAGAGUAACUGUUCACGCAGUGACGGUAUCCAACCAGAAAGUCACGGCUAACUACGUGCCAGCAGCCGCGGUAAUCUGAGCGGGCUGGCAAGGC
rnacentral:rRNA from 1 species